UACCAUGCAAGUCGAGCGGAGGAGGGAGCUUGCUCCUGGAAUCAGCGGCGGACGGGUGAGUAAUGCCUGGGAAUCUGCCUGGUAGUGGGGGAUAACGUCUCGAAAGGGACGCUAAUACCGCGUACGUCCUACGGGAGAAAGCAGGGGAUCUUCGGACCUUGCGCUAUCAGAUGAGCCCAGGCCGGAUUAGCUUGUUGGUGAGGUAAUGGCUCACCAAGGCGACGAUCCGUAGCUGGUCUGAGAGGAUGAUCAGCCACACUGGGACUGAGACACGGCCCAGACUCCUACGGGAGGCAGCAGUGGGGAAUAUUGGACAAUGGGCGAAAGCCUGAUCCAGCCAUGCCGCGUGUGUGAAGAAGGUCUUCGGAUUGUAAAGCACUUUAAGUUGGGAGGAAGGGGUUGAAGCUAAUACCUUCAAUCUUUGACGUUACCAACAGAAUAAGCACCGGCUAACUCUGUGCCAGCAGCCGCGGUAAUACAGAGGGUGCAAGCGUUAAUCGGAAUUACUGGGCGUAAAGCGCGCGUAGGUGGUUCAGUAAGAUGGAAGUGAAAUCCCCGGGCUUAACCUGGGAACUGCUUUCAUAACUGCUGAGCUAGAGUACGGUAGAGGGUAGUGGAAUUUCCUGUGUAGCGGUGAAAUGCGUAGAUAUAGGAAGGAACACCAGUGGCGAAGGC
rnacentral:rRNA from 1 species